GUGAUAUGUGUUAAAGAAUUUAUGUGUGUGUGCUUAAGAGAAUUUUUACUACUAUCUCCAGUUAGAUUCACUUGUGUCACUUAUGUAAAUACUUCAAGAAGGAAGAGCCUUUUAGGGUAUUUCAAUUAAAAACAGCAAAACUGUGAACCUUUACAAUAGGGGGUAUGCUCAAAUAAUGACUAGUGAACCCUUAAGUCAUCUCCUGGAUAUUUGAUGAGCCAGAGGCCAUGAGGAAAAGAAAUAGGAGGUUUCGAUAAAAAUCUGGAUAUCGGUUAAACUUUUUAUGGUGUAUCUUGCAUUUGGAAGUAUUGGUUAGCCCUUCACUGCGUGAGCAGUAAUAGCUUAAUUAGUGAAAUAUUAGCAUUUUGGAUUUGGACAGAUCUUUGGGAUCCCCAAGGGAUAUUUCACAGUGAUAUGAAACCACUAUGCUGAGUAAACAGAUGGCAUCUAUUAGAAAUGAUAGGCAAAAUUAAGCAGUCAGAACUCUAAAUAUAAACAAGAACCACAAUCCUUUUGGAGCUGGAAGGGACCCCAGAGAUCAGGCAAUCCAACCUCCUCUGCACAGAAGAAGAGACUAGGGCUUAGAGGGCAAAUGACUUGUCUAAGGUCACACAGCUGGUAAGUGACAGAGUCAUGAUUAGAACCUAGAUGUUCUAAGUCCAAUUCUCCUUGAGAGCCUUAGACACCAAAUCUCAGCACUUCCCACCAGAAUAACCAGGGGUACUAGAUACAUGCUUGGAAAUUCCACUGUGAGAUAUUAAGUCUCAGAGUUUUGUCUUAGACGUCAUAUACUUUUUGUAUUACAGUUGACUACAUUCAUGACAUUUUUACUCUCCUUGAGCUGAAGUAUUAUUCCAAAAGUUUGCCCCAUGUUUAAAGUGUCGCUUCUUGGGCCUCCUGGCACACUGCCACAUACUUUUCACCUUUUCGGCACAAAGCAGUAAGCAGUCUGAAUAGUAGGCAUAGCCAGGGCCUUUAUCAUCUGGAAGGCCUCCAAGGAGGUGUAUUUUCUUUGUUGCUGUUACUGAUUGAAUGUAAUUUUAGUCCUGCUUUAUGCUUAGCCUUGUCACUAUGUGAAAGUGUAAAUAGACUUUGAAAUCAAGUAUGAAUUUAUUUUUCACUAAAAUUUAUAAAGAUGCUGCCUGUCAGCUUAACAGGUAAGGUUUUAUUUAACAGGUACGCAUAAGCUUAUCCUCUGGUUUUCUACUUGGACAGCCGUCAGCUGACACAUACGAGAGCAAGUCAUGAAGAUGCAGUACACUCAGGCUUUUGCACAAUUUCAUGAGGGGCCCUGACUGAGCUCUUAAGAAAAAUCAUUGCUGCUGUCAUUCAGUAAAUGCUUUAGGAAAUAUUGAAAGACUUAAAUACAGGUGUGAACCUAACUGGCAAUGGGAAGCAGAUCUCACAAGCAUGAUCAGUGUGAGGACAAGCAAUAAUUUGAAGAGGGCCAAAGUUUUCAGAGAUUCCGAGAAAGGUUGCCCAGAACGAGAGCUCAAGUUACACUGCACUUCAGCCUGCAUUUGUCUGCUGGAGGAGUCUGCUUUUCCUAUUUCUAUACAACAGAAAGAUCACUAUUUCAUGCACAGUGAUGAAAUUCAUUAAGGAUGGUGACUAAAUGGAACAUCGUGGUUCCUCAAGCCAUAUGAUUAAACUGUUAAGCUGUACAAAA